rnacentral:rRNA from 1 species
GGAAGUUUUCGGAUGGAAGCGGAUAUGACUUAGCGGCGGACGGGUGAGUAACGCGUGGAUAACCUGCCUCAUACAGGGGGAUAACAGUUAGAAAUGACUGCUAAUACCGCAUAAGCGCACAGGACCGCAUGGUCCGGUGUGAAAAACUCCGGUGGUAUGGGAUGGAUCCGCGUCUGAUUAGCUGGUUGGUGAGGUAACGGCCCACCAAGGCGACGAUCAGUAGCCGACCUGAGAGGGUGGCCGGCCACAUUGGGACUGAGACACGGCCCAAACUCCUACGGGAGGCAGCAGUGGGGAAUAUUGCACAAUGGGGGAAACCCUGAUGCAGCAACGCCGCGUGAGUGAAGAAGUAUUUCGGUAUGUAAAGCUCUAUCAGCAGGGAAGAAGAAAGACGGUACCUGACUAAGAAGCCCCGGCUAACUACGUGCCAGCAGCCGCGGUAAUACGUAGGGGGCAAGCGUUAUCCGGAUUUACUGGGUGUAAAGGGAGCGUAGACGGCUGUGCAAGUCUGAAGUGAAAGCCCGUGGCUCAACCGCGGAACUGCUUUGGAAACUGUAUAGCUUGAGUACUGGAGAGGCAGGCGGAAUUCCUAGUGUAGCGGUGAAAUGCGUAGAUAUUAGGAGGAACACCAGUGGCGAAGGCGGCCUGCUGGACAGAAACUGACGUUGAGGCUCGAAAGCGUGGGGAGCAAACAGGAUUAGAUACCCUGGUAGUCCACGCGGUAAACGAUG